UACGAAGGGGGCUAGCGUUGCUCGGAAUCACUGGGCGUAAAGGGUGGGUAGGCGGGUCUUUAAGUCAGGGGUGAAAUCCUGGAGCUCAACUCCAGAACUGCCUUUGAUACUGAGGAUCUUGAGUAUGGGAGAGGUGAGUGGAACUGCGAGUGUAGAGGUGAAAUUCGUAGAUAUUCGCAAGAACACCAGUGGCGAAGGCGGCUCACUGGCCCAUUACUGACGCUGAGGCACGAAAGCGUGGGGAGCAAACAGG
rnacentral:rRNA from 1 species